rnacentral:rRNA from 1 species
UCCCGGCAGUCCAAGUCGCAGCCACAAUUAUUGGGUCUAAAACAUCCGUAGCUUGCUUUGUAAGUCCCUUGUUAAAUCGGGCCUCUUAAGGGUCCGCCGGCAAGAGAUACUGCUUAGCUAGAGACCGGGAGGCGUAAGAAGUACAGACAGAGUAGCGGUUAAAUGCGUUGAUCCUGUCUGGACUCACAGUCGCGAAGGCGUCUUACGAGAACGGUUCUGACAGUGAGGGAUGAAGGCUAGGGGCGCAAAUUGG